GGUGUUCGCGGGCCGUGGUGGACUGCCGAAGCCAAUACGGCGACAGGAGAGGAAGCCGGUGCGAAUCCGGCGCGGUCCCGCCACUGUGACCGGGGAGCGGUCCCCGGGAGCCAGGAACUCUCAUCGCCGUUCUCUUCUAA
rnacentral:ncRNA from 2 species